rnacentral:lncRNA from 1 species
UGGGGCCUGGGUCUUGCCCUGUGUGGCAGAGGGUCCUGCCCUGCAUGGUCAUGGCUCUUUCUGACCCACCCUUGCCUUGAAGCCCUCUCGGGCACAGCCUGAUGGAGGAGGUUGCAGGGCCACUUGCCGUGGACCAGCCUGGCCGCCUCUUCUGUCAUGGCAUGGCCUUUAGUCCCCUCUCUGGACCCGAGGCUGUGGUCCCCACAGGGAUCCAUGGUGUGACUCGUGUCCGGGUGGUUUCAGCUGGGGCUGCGCCGUCCACAUUACUCAGGAGCUGACCCAGCUGGCCUCCCGGGAGCUGCCCCCCAGCCUGGAUCUCCGCCCCGGGGUCUCCACGCAGGAGUGCAGCUGGGUGCAGGUGGACUCGGCAGGCCCACAGCACGGGCUGCCCCAGCUUCCCCUGCCCCGCCAGGCCCACUGCUGGCCCUGGGCUGCAGAGCAUAGGAAGGACUGGGCUCGGGCUCUGGGAUCCCUGCCCCCGUGUGACGCGUUCCUCCCGGGCCUCUGUCCCUCUUGUGUAAGGGGGUGAGAAGUGCGUCAGGG